UACAGAGGGUGCGAGCGUUUAAUCGGAAUUACUGGGCGUAAAGCGCACGUAGUCGGCUUUGCAAGUCGGUUGUGAAAUCCCCGGGCUCAACCUGGGAACUGCAUCCGAGACUGCAUUGCUAGAGUAUGGGAGAGGAAAGCGGAAUUUCUGGUGUAGCAGUGAAAUGCGUAGAUAUCAGAAGGAACAUCAGUGGCGAAGGCGGCUUUCUGGAC
rnacentral:rRNA from 1 species